rnacentral:rRNA from 1 species
CCUGGUUGAUCCUGCCAGUAGUCAUAUGCUUGUCUCAAAGAUUAAGCCAUGCAUGUCUUCGUACGCACUUUGGUAAAGUGAAACCGCGAAUGGCUCAUUAAAUCAGCUACAAUUUAUUAGAUCAUACAAAGUUACAUGGAUAACUGUGGGAAUUCUAGAGCUAAUACAUGCACAAAGACUCUGCUCUUCGGGGUAGAGCGCAGUUAUUAGACCAAAACCAUCCGUGCUUUCGGGCAUGAAUGUUUGGUGACUCUGGAUAACCUUCAGCUGAUCGCAUGGCCUUGUGCCGGCGACGUAUCUUUCAAGUGUCUGCCCUAUCAACUUUCGAUGGUAGGUGAGUUGCCUACCAUGGUGAUAACGGGUAACGGGGAAUCAGGGUUCGAUUCCGGAGAGGGAGCCUGAGAAAUGGCUACCACAUCCAAGGAUGGCAGCAGGCGCGUAAAUUACCCACUCCCAGAUCGGGGAGGUAGUGACGAAAAAUAACAAUGCGGGACUCUUAGAGGCCCCGCAAUUGGAAUGAGAAAACCGUAAAUUGUUUAACGAGUAUCAAUUGGAGGGCAAGUCUGGUGCCAGCAGCCGCGGUAAUUCCAGCUCCAAUAGCGUAUAUUAAAGUUGUUGCAGUUAAAAAGCUCGUAGUUGAAUCUGGUGCUUGGUCAUACUGUCGAUCGCUGUUGCGGUGAUAGUGUGGCUAGCACUGCUUGCCGGUGUCUGCUGUGGUGUUCUUAACUGAGCGCUACAGUAGCACGGCACGUUUACUUUGAAAAAAUUAGAGUGCUCAAAGCAGGCAUGUUGCCUGAAUAGUGUUGCAUGGAAUAAUGAAAUAGGACAACGGUCCUAUUUUGUUGGUUUUUGGAUCUGUUGUAAUGAUUAAUAGAGACGAACGGGGGCAUUCGUAUUGCGGUGUUAGAGGUGAAAUUCUUGGAUCGCCGCAAGACGGACUACUGCGAAAGCAUUUGCCAAGAACGCUUUCAUUAAUUAAGAACGAAAGUCAGAGGUUCGAAGACGAUCAGAC